rnacentral:rRNA from 1 species
UACAGAGGGGGCAAGCGUUAUUCGGAAUUAUUGGGCGUAAAGGGCGCGUAGGCGGCCUGGCAAGUGGAAGGUGAAAUCCCUCGGCUUAACCGAGGAACUGCCCUCCAAACUGCUUGGCUUGAGUCCGGGAGAGGUGAGUGGAAUUCCCAGUGUAGCGGUGAAAUGCGUAGAUAUUGGGAGGAACACCAGUGGCGAAGGCGGCUCACUGGACCGGCACUGACGCUGAGGCGCGAAAGCGUGGGGAGCAAACAGG